rnacentral:rRNA from 1 species
CUACGGGCUGCUCCGGUGGGGAAUAUUGCACAAUGGAGGAAGCUCUGAUGCAGCAACGCCGCGUGGAGGAUGACACUUUUCGGAGCGUAAACUCCUUUUAUAUAGGAAGAAGAUGACGGUACUAUAUGAAUAAGCGCCGGCUAACUCCGUGCCAGCAGCCGCGGUAAUACGGAGGGCGCAAGCGUUACUCGAAAUCACUGGGCGUAAAGAGCGUGUAGGCGGAUUAAAAAGUCAGAAGUGAAAUCCUAUAGCUUAACUAUAGAACUGCUUCUGAAACUCUUAAUCUAGAAUAUGGGAGAGGUAGAUGGAAUUUCUGGUGUAGGGGUAAAAUCCGUAGAGAUCAGAAGGAAUACCGAUUGCGAAGGCGAUCUACUAGAACAUUAUUGACGCUGAGACGCGAAAGCGUGGGGAGCAAACAGGAUAGAUACCCCCGUAGUC